rnacentral:rRNA from 2 species
UGGGGAAUCUUCCGCAAUGGGCGAAAGCCUGACGGAGCAACGCCGCGUGAGUGAAGACGGUUUUCGGAUUGUAAAACUCUGUCUUGCGGGAAGAACGGUUUCUAUGUGAAGAAUGUAGAAACGUGACGGUACCGGAAGAGGAAGCCACGGCUAACUACGUGCCAGCAGCCGCGGUAAUACGUAGGUGGCAAGCGUUGUCCGGAAUUAUUGGGCGUAAAGGGCGCGCAGGCGGGAAGAGAAGUCUGUCUUAAAAGUGCGGCGCGUAACGCCGUGAGGGGACGGAAACACUCUUCCUUGAGUGCAGGAGAGGACAGUGGAAUUCCCAGUGUAGCGGUGAAAUGCGUAGAGAUUGGGAGGAACACCAGUGGCGAAGGCGGCUGUCUGGACUGUAACUGACGCUGAGGCGCGAAAGCCAGGGAAGUGAACGGG